GGCAGGGAACAAAAUUGGAGAUUUACUGGAACUAUUUGAGAGUUUUUUUAGAUCAUUUCGUCGGACUCGAACGUUGGAAACUUCAGCGUCAUGACUAAAAUCAUUUCGCGGUAUUGAAAUUUGGUGAAACUGUAAAUUGCAGGUUUGAAAGAAGCGUUUUAAAUAUAAGACGAAAUUUUGAUCUUCAAUUUUGUCUGGAAAAUUGUGUUUGUACACGCAACGAAAUGGCAACAAAAAAUCGCUGCUUUCUCUCCUCAAUUCUUCAGGGCCACAGAAUUCGAUGCACUUUGGCUGCAGUUAAAAAUCUCGACGAGAAUUCGAGGCUGUGCCAUUUGGAAUUGACGUAACUACAAACUCACGUGUCGGACCUUGACCACAAAUGGUUGCUGGCUGCAUAGCACACAUUUGAUCAGCAGCGAACGAGAGACAACGGAACGAACAAAAUAAUCACGAUUAAGACCCUCCGCAAUACGUCCUCCAACAAAUUCGCUGCUCGUUUGACUUUCGAUCGAACUUUUCGUUGGAAAACGAUGUGAAAAUGCACCUGAAUCGUGGCUGAGAGAUUCCUUGCCAAAGCUGCCACGAUUUUCUCCAAAAAAUUGAAUAAAUCACGCCUUCCCUUCGAAUUUA